GCGAGUGAAGCGGGAAAAGCUCAAAUUUAAAAUCUGGCAGUCUUUGGCUGUCCGAGUUGUAUUCUAGAGAAGCGCUUUCCGUGCCGGACCGUGUACAAGUCUCUUGGAACAGAGCGUCAUAGAGGGUGAGAAUCCCGUCUUUGACACGGACUACCGGUGCUUUGUGAUGCGUUUUCAAAGAGUCGAGUUGUUUGGGAAUGCAGCUCAAAAUGGGUGGUAAAUUCCAUCUAAAGCUAAAUAUUGGCGAGAGACCGAUAGCGAACAAGUACCGUGAGGGAAAGAUGAAAAGCACUUUGGAAAGAGAGUUAAACAGUACGUGAAAUUGCUGAAAGGGAAACGCUUGAAGUCAGUCGCGUCGUUCAGAACUCAGCCUGGCUUUUGCUCGGUGCACUUUCUGAAUGACGGGCCAGCAUCAAUUUUGACUGUCGGAUAAAGGCCAGAGAAAUGUGGCUCCUUUGGGAGUGUUAUAGUCUCUGGUUGCAUACGAUGGUUGGGAUUGAGGAACUCAGCAUGCCUUUAUGGUCGGGGUUCGCCCACGUUCAUGCUUAGGAUGCUGGCGUAAUGGCUUUAAACGACCCGUCUUGAAACACGGACCAAGGAGUCUAACAUGCCUGCGAGUGUUUGGGUGGAAAACCCGAGCGCGCAAUGAAAGUGAAAGUUGGGAUCCCUGUCGUGGGGAGCACUGACGCCCGGACCAGACCUUCUGUGACGGAUCCGCGGUAGAGCAUGUAUGUUGGGACCCGAAAGAUGGUGAACUAUGCCUGAAUAGGGUGAAGCCAGAGGAAACUCUGGU
rnacentral:rRNA from 1 species